UUGUGAGGUUAAGCGACUAAGCGUACACGGUGGAUGCCCUGGCAGUCAGAGGCGAUGAAGGACGUGCUAAUCUGCGAUAAGCGUCGGUAAGGUGAUAUGAACCGUUAUAACCGGCGAUUUCCGAAUGGGGAAACCCAGUGUGAUUCGUCACACUAUCAUUAACUGAAUCCAUAGGUUAAUGAGGCGAACCGGGGGAACUGAAACAUCUAAGUACCCCGAGGAAAAGAAAUCAACCGAGAUUCCCCCAGUAGCGGCGAGCGAACGGGGAGGAGCCCAGAGCCUGAAUCAGUGUGUGUGUUAGUGGAAGCGUCUGGAAAGGCGCGCGAUACAGGGUGACAGCCCCGUACACAAAAAUGCACAU
rnacentral:rRNA from 1 species